CAACCGUAUCAUGUUGAGACACCGGUUCUCAUACGAUCACCGAUUUUAAGCAACGUUGAGCCUGUUCAGUACCUAGGUGGGUGACCGCUUGGGAAUAAUA